rnacentral:misc_RNA from 1 species
AAGGGAUAUUUAAUAUUUCACUAUUACAGGUUGCCCAAGUACACGAGUAUAUAGGAUGACCCUUCAUUGAAUAGGUGUUGCAUAAUGGGUAUUUUGAGGAUGGGUAGUGAAGUUGUUAUUUUCAGGGGGAAUUUUACCUUAUAAAUAUGAGUGCCUUGAGGAGGACUCUCUAUCAGGCCUCAGCGUAAUGUUCGGGAUACUUUGGAAGAAC